UGAGCUCAGACUCCGAUGAAGCUGAUAGAC
rnacentral:piRNA from 1 species